CCUACGGUGGCUGCAGUGGGGAAUAUUGGACAAUGGGCGAAAGCCUGAUCCAGCCAUGCCGCGUGUGUGAAGAAGGCCUUCGGGUUGUAAAGCACUUUCAGUGGGGAAGAAAGCCUUGGGGCUAAUACCCUCGAGGAAGGACAUCACCCACAGAAGAAGCACCGGCUAACUCCGUGCCAGCAGCCGCGGUAAUACGGAGGGUGCGAGCGUUAAUCGGAAUUACUGGGCGUAAAGCGCGCGUAGGCGGUCUGAUAAGCCGGUUGUGAAAGCCCCGGGCUCAACCUGGGAACGGCAUCCGGAACUGUCAGGCUAGAGUGCAGGAGAGGAAGGUAGAAUUCCCGGUGUAGCGGUGAAAUGCGUAGAGAUCGGGAGGAAUACCAGUGGCGAAGGCGGCCUUCUGGACUGACACUGACGCUGAGGUGCGAAAGCGUGGGUAGCAAACAGGAUUAGAUACCCGGGUAGUC
rnacentral:rRNA from 1 species